CUUUGGCCUCUAGCUAUAGGAAACAGACACAGAGAAGUAGGUUUUUGUGAGUCCACCCUUGGUGGGCUGCACAGAGGCUACUUGGGUUAGAUUGCUGCCUAGAUGCUAACUUUGGACAGAUGACACUAAUGGCCACAUAUCAGAUGUCCCAAGCGGACGAUGACCAAGAUUUCACACAGAGUGGAAAGGAAAGGCUGGGGCUAUGAGUCUACAUUGUAAUGCCACUUCCUACCUGCCACUCUUGAGCCACCUAAUCCCUCUCUCACACUCACAGAUACAUCAAAUGUUACCCCCUCCCAGGUCUGAAGCCAUGGGGAUCAAGCCUAUGUUUGCACCAUGCACUCCUUAUACUCUACUGUAGCCACAGGCAUUUGGGGUAGAGGUGGGAGUUCUACCAAAGACUGAGGCAGGACCUGGAUUCUCAGGGCUCCUAAUCUACUCUUGGGGAAUGCUGUCUUUGCAGUGAUCCAACCCAAAGCCCUUUGCUGAUGGGUCUGAUAGGACCUGGUAUCAUCUAGAUAAUGUAACUACCUGCAGAACAAAAUAAAAUAACUAAUGUUUCAUAAGACCUUGCAUUAUAAGUGGUAGUUUAUGUGGCCAGCUACUUUAACCCCUCAACUUCCUUUCUGUAAAAUGCAAAAGCAUCCUACUCAUAGGUGGGCUAUUUUGAGGUUAGGAAGUUUCCUAUAAAUUCUAAGACCUAUGCCUUGCACAUUGUGUGUGCUCAAUAAGAGCUAGAUAUUGGGUAGGGAAGUAGCUCUGUGUAGGAGUGCUUCCCCCAAGGCCCUGGGUUCAAUCUCUAGCAAUACACACACACACACACACACACACACACACACACACGUACAUGUGCACAGGUGAGCACAUACCACACAAAUACAUAUGCACAUACACAUGCACACACAGAGACACACACACACAAUGGCUAACCCAAGCAUUCAUUUCAGUGUUCUAGAUUCCUUCUUUCCUUUCUCUGGGUCUCAUGUAGCCCAGGCUAUCCUCUAAUUUGCUCUAUAGCCAAAGAUGACCUUCAACUUCUGAUCUUUCUCCUUCUGCCUCCUGAGUGCUGCAAUUAUAGGCAUGUGCCACUGCACAUAGCCUAGUGCUCUGGAUUUCAACCAAAGAUGUCCAAUAGACAAGACAUGUUUAUUCAUCAGAUGAAUGAAUGAGAUUAAUGAAAUACUGAAUUAUAGGAUACAGUCCUAAGUAACUCAACUGAAAAGGACCAGGAAAUUUUCAAUUCACAUGGGAAGCGACAAAUAGCCAAUUCUAGCUCUGAGAUUACACAGCUGUUGGAAUUAUCUCAUAAAGACUUUUCUUUGGAGACUCAGUUGUGCCAUGUGAUGUUUUUCUGGAAACUGUCUUAUGAGAGGAUGUUUUUGCUGAAGCAGAUAUGUGGGAGGAUAUUUUGCUGAGAACAGACGUCGUGUUUUUCUGGAGGCAGCCUGGGAAAAGGGCAUGUGGUGUUUUGCUGGAGCUGACUCUUGUGAGAACACGUGAUGUUUGGAAAGGGUGUAAAUAUAACCCAACAGACAGUGGACGACGCUGUGUGGUAUUGGUUCCCUUUGCACUUCUUGCUGGUCAUCAUUUGUUGUGACUUUGUAGAAAGAAAUGCAGCAAAGAACUUCUGGUGGCGUUCUGGUGGCUUCUUGAUAGCUUUCAUGGACUUGGGCUAGUUGGCAGACCCUGCAGUUUCUUCUGGAUUGAACUGCUAUUGCUGAAUCUUGAAUGGUGUUUACAAAUAUAUCAAGCUGCCAUUGCUGAUUUGUGUGAACUGAUCUGCUGAUGUCCUGACAAAGCAGAUUGGAUUUGCUCCAAAGAACUAUUUCUAAACAGGUGCACAUUCUCCAUUGCCCUAUUAACCUUUCCUUUCCACUACCUCUGAUGGAGGGUGGGCUAGAAGGAGGUAAAGUAUCUAAGUAGGUUUUGGGGCUGUAGAGAUGGCUCAGCAAUGAAGUGGAAACUUAAGGGAAAGUUGUUUGGAUGGUGUUUUGCUGGGGCAAACAUACAUGUGAAGGAAUGUUUAGCUGAAACAGACUCAGGAGAAAGGAUGUUCUGCUAAAGCCAGCAUGUGAAAGGACACCUGGUGAAGGAUUCUUUGCUAACAACAGGAAUGUAUUGAUCUGCCUUGUAUUGCGUAAUUGAACUGCAUAUGUCCAGACUCCAUAGAGAGAAACCCAUCAAAAACAACAAAAACAAACAAACAAACAAACCCAAUUUCUGGUAGUGUGUUGCAGCUUCUUACCGCUUCUGUGGACUUGGGCUGAUUGGCAGAGUAAUGUCAGCUGAGACAGACACACAUGCUGAGGCAAGACACGUGUAGGACAUGUGAUGUUUGGAGGGUAAAAAUAGGACUUGACAGACAGUGAUGGAGGCUGAGCUAGGCUUGCUUGUAGAGCUAGCUGUGCAAUACUUGUUGAUAUAGUGGGAGUUUUUGCCUACAUCAGGAGUGGGUCUCACUUCCAGCCACCCACCCAAGGAAUCUUUGGAUACAGGGAUGAAAGACACGCUCAUUUUUAACUUGCUGUAUUGGCUCAGUGGUCGGGCUCUUCUAAGCUUCCCAAGGCUAGAAUGCCCUUCCCUUUACUCCUAGCUCAACCUCUCUAAAUCUGCCCUAAUCUUGGUUGCCUGGUUACCUUUUGUGAAGCCCAUUGGUCUUGCUGCCCAAGAUGCUUUCGGGCUGCCCUUCCGUGGGCCACUUUCCCUUUCCACCUACAUUUUGGAAGCUCUCCCCUGCAGUACUGAGUCUGUUCCCUCCCUUUUCCCCAAGUUCUCCUCUUCCUGCCUCUCUUCUCUUCUCUCCUAGCCUGCAGGAACCUGGAAGUCCCGCCUCUUUCUUUCUACCCAGCCAUUGGCCUCUGGCAUCUUUAUUAAUUGAUCAAGAGCCAAUUGGGGACAAGGACCUUAGUGUAUGGGCCUGCAGAUUCCUGAUCAAAGCAUCAGAACCGGUCUUUGCUGAGAGAGGCACAGUGUCUGUGAACUGGACUGCUGGUGCACCUGUUACGUGUCUGCGAGUGGAUCAAGCUACCGCUGCUAACCUGUGAACUGAACUGGCGAUUUCCAGACAACACAGACAGGAGUUGCUCCACAGAACCUUUCUAAAUAGGUCCACUUUCCCUGUAUCCUUUCUUUUCCACUACCCCUGGUGGGUUGGUGGCUACAAGGGAAGAUAAAGUGUUUAAGAACCAUCAUUAAAAGUAGGCAGUUGAAAAAAUUAAAGUCACACAGCAGCUAAGAGUACUGACUGCUCUUUCA
rnacentral:lncRNA from 1 species